ensembl:lncRNA
AGGAGGGGGCUACAGAGUAGGGAUUCCCAGGGGACUGUGCUGUAGGGACUGCAAGGUCCAGUGCGCUCUGGUACCAGUGGUGUUUAGGGAGACACGAGGGGAAGAUCUACUCACAAAGGAUGUGAUACAGGCAAAAUCAGGUUGCCUCUUUUCUGAAAGAAUAAAGAAAUGUAAAUGUGUCGUUCUGAUGCCACCGUCUCCAUUUGCUGAGUAUCUACCGGAAGAAGAGUUCCUUUUCAAGUCAGACAAGAGCAUUGCCAGGUUUUGUUUGCAAGAAGGUUCCUGCUCUGCUGCAUAGAAGAGGCGGGGGACUGUUGUGUCUCCUUGGCCUUUCCCUUCUCAUCCCCCUCUCACCUCCCCUGCUUGGGCCCCUGUCACCACACACCUGGACAUCAUCACAGAGCCUCUCAGCCACAAGGUUCCUGAGGCAACACUACAUAACUGCAGAAAGCUCAGGUUCGA